ensembl:miRNA
AAAAGUUCGUUUGAGUUUUUCUGUUACAUCUUAUGGAAAAACUUGAAUGAACUUACU